UACGUAGGGUGCGAGCGUUACUCGGAAUUACUGGGCGUAAAGUGUGCGCAGGCGGCCGCGCAAGUCGAGUGUGAAAGCCCCGGGCUUAACUUGGGAAUUGCGCUCGAAACUACGUGGCUGGAGUGUGGCAGAGGAAGGUGGAAUUCCAGGUGUAGCGGUGAAAUGCGUAGAGAUCUGGAGGAACACCAAUGGCGAAGGCAGCACUCUGGGACGUGACUGACGCUGAGACGCGAAAGCGUGGGGAGCAAACAGG
rnacentral:rRNA from 1 species